rnacentral:lncRNA from 1 species
UGUAAGCUGAGAUGUGUAAUGCUUUGUAAUGUUCAGAUUUGAGUAGUGCUUGAAACUUGUUCAGUUUCAGACUUGUGCUUGAUUAAUAGUACUUAUGUUGUUCAUCUCAGAGUACUAGAAUUAUGUCUUGUAACCUCCCCCUAUUUGCAUAUGUGUGAUGUAUGUUUUGUAGCAUUUUUGUUAACUUUGUUCAUGUGAAAACAUAUAUGUUUGUGUUGUGAUAUAUUUUUGUCCCUAUCAUAUUAGCUUGUUUCUUUCCUUCUGUCGUUGCUAGUUAUAUAUGUGUGAGUGUUUGUGUUGUGAGAGUUGUACUGUUACAUUGUGACUCUCAUUUAGAAUGUAUGAGUACUAGCUAUAUACGUCAUAUAUAUUCUGUUCAUGUAUGAUAGUUAUAUGUGUUCUUGUCUAGUAGCUUUCCCUAAUAUUGAUUCUCGUUUGUGUUAGUGUUUUAGAUUCUCAAGUAUAAUCAAAAUACCAAAAGGAUGUUGAGAAAAAUCUGAACCUCCCUUUGCUUCUUUUCAUUUUCUUUGGCUACAAUCAUUGAUAGUUUAGGUUUUAUUUUUGCAUUCAUAAGUUGAAUUGUGUUGCCCAGCUUUAUCCGAGCACGAUCAUUGACUUGUCUAGUCCCUGAGUAGAACACGACCUCCGUAGUUUGGGCGUAAAAUCCCCACUAUACAUUCAAUCGAUCAUUUUGAAGGAAAUAUGCCCUAGAGGCAAUAAUAAAGUUAUUAUUUAUUUCCCUAUUUCAUGAUAAAUGUUUAUUAUUCAUGCUAGAAUUGUAUUAACCGGAAACAUAAUACAUGUGUGAAUAUAUAGACAAACAUAGUGUCACUAGUAUGCCUCUACUUGACUAGCUCGUUCAUCAAAGAUGGUUAAGUUUCCUAACCAUAGACAUGAGUUGUCAUUUGAUUAAUGGGAUCACAUCAUUAGUAGAAUGAUAUGAUUAAGUUGACCCAUUCCGUUAGCUUAGCACUUGAUCAUUUAGAAUGUUGCUAUUGCUUUCUUCAUGACUUAUACAUGUUCCUAUAACUAUGAGAUUAUGCAACCCCCGUUUACCGGAGGAACACUUUGUGUGCUUCGAAACAUCAGAACGCAACUGGGUGAUUAUAAAGGUGCUCUACAGGUGUCUCCGAAGGUACUUGUUGGGUUCGCGUAUUUCGAGAUUAGGAUUUGUCACUCCGAUUGUAGGAGAGGUAUUUCUGGGCCCUCUCGGUAAUGCACAUCACUAUAAGCCUUGCAUGCAAUGUAGCUAAUGAGUUAGUUACGGGAUGAUGCAUUACGUAAUGAGUAAAGAUACUUGCCGGUAACGAGAUUGAACUAGGUAUUGAGAUACCGACAAUUGAAUCUCGGGCAAGUAACAUACCGAUGACAAAGGGAACAACGUAUGUUGUUAUGCGGUUUGACCGAUAAAGAUCUUCGUAGAAUAUGUAGGAGCCAAUAUGAGCAUCUAGGUUCCGCUAUUAGUUAUUGACCGGAGAUGUGUCUCGGUCAUGUCUACAUAGUUCUCGAACCCGUAGGGUCCGCACGCUUAAAGUUAGAUGACAGUUAUAUUAUGACUUUAUGUAUUUUGAUGUACCGAAGGUUGUACGGAGUCCCAGAUGUGAUCACGGACAUGACGAGGAGUCUCUAAAUGGUCGAGACAUAAAGAUCGAUAUAGUGGACGACUAUAUUUGGACACCGGAAUGGUUCCGAGUGAGAUUGGGACAAUACCGGAGCUCCGGGAGGUUAUUGGAACCCCCCGGGAGGUAUAUGGGGCUUAAUGGGCUUUAGUGGAAAGGAGGGGAAAGGAGCAAGGGAGGGGGCGCCCCCCUUUCCUUCCUCCCUCCUCCCUCUUCCUUCCCUCUCCCUCUCCAAAUAGGAAAAGGAGGAGUCCUACUCCCGGUGGGAGUAGGACUCCCCCCUUGGGCACGCCUCCUCCCCUUGGUCGGCCCCCUCCUCCACUCCUUUAUAUACAGGGAUGGGGGAACCCCAUAGACACAACAAUUGAUCAUUGAUCUCUUAGCCGUGUGCGGUGCCCCCUCCACCAUAGUCCUCCUUGAUAAUAUCGUAGAGGUGCUUAGGCGAAGCCCUGCGUAGGUAGAUCAUCAUCAUUGUCACCACGCCGUCGUGCUGACGGAACUCUCCCUCGAAGCUCGGCUGGAUCGGAGUUCAAGGGACGUCAUCGAGCUGAACGUGUGCAAGAACUCAGAGGUGUCGUGCUUUCGGUGCUUGAUCUGUCAGGCCGUGAAGACAUACGACUACAUCAACCACUUUGUGCUAACGCUUUCGCUUUCGGUCUACGAGGGUACGUAGACACACUCUCCCCUCUUGUUGCUAUGCAUCACCAUGAUCUUGUGUGUGCGUAGGAAUUUUUUGCAAUUACUACGUUCCCCAACAGUGGAAUCUGAGCCAGGUUUUAUGCGUUGAUGUUAUAUGCACGAGUAGAAAACAAGUGAGUUGUGGGCGAUACAAGUCAUACUGCUUACCAGCAUGUCAUACUUUGGUUCAGCGGUAUUGUUGGAUGAAGCGGACCGGACCGACAUUACGCGUAUGCUUACGCAAGACUGGUUCUACCGACGUGCUUUGCACACAAGUGGCUGGCGGGUGUCAGUUUCUCCAACUUUAGUUGAACCGAGUGUGGCUACGCCCGGUCCUUGAGAAGGUUAAACAACACUAACUUGACGAACUAUCGUUGUGGUUUUGAUGCGUAGGUAAGAACGGUUCUUUCUAAGCCCGUAGCAGCCAUGUAAAACUUGCAACAACAAAGUAGAGGACGUCUAACUUGUUUUUGCAGGGUAUGUUGUGAUGUGAUAUGGUCAAGACGUGAUGCUACAUUUUAUUGUAUGGGAUGAUCAUGUUUUGUAACCAAAUUAUCGACAACUGGCAGGAGCCAUAUGGUUGUCGCUUUAUUGUAUGCAAUGCAAUUGCCCUGUAAUUGCUUUACUUUAUCACUAAGCGGUAGCGAUAUUCGUAGAAGCAAUAGUUCGCGAGACGACAACGAUACUACGAUGGAGAUUAAGGUGUCGCGCCGGUGACGAUGGUGAUCAUGACGGUGCUUCGGAGAUGGAGAUCACAAGCACAAGAUGAUGAUGGCCAUAUCAUAUCACUUAUAUUGAUUGCAUGUGAUGUUUAUAUUUUAUGUAUCUUAUCUUGCUUUGAUUGACGGUAGCACUAUAAGAUGGUCUCUCACUAAAUUUCAAGAUAAAAGUGAUCUCCCUGAGUAUGAACCGUUGCCAAAGUUCGUCGUGCCCAGACACCACGUGAUGUUCGGGUGUGAUAAUCUCUACAUCCUCUACAAUGGGUGCAAGCCAGUUUUGCACACCCAGAAUACUCAGGUUAAACUUGACAAGCCUAGCAUAUGCAGAUAUGGCCUCGGAACACUGAGACCGAAUGGUUGAGCGUGAAUCAUAUAGUAGAUAUGAUCAACAUAGUGAUGUUCACCAUUGAAAACUACUCAAUUUCACGUGAUGAUCGGUUAUGGUUUAGUUGAUUUGGAUCAUGUGAUCACUUAGAUGAUUAGAGAGAUGUCUAUCUAAGUGGGAGUUCUUAAGUAAUAUGAUUAAUUGAACUUAAAUUUAUCAUGGACUUAGUCCUGGUAGUAUUUUGCAAAUUAUGUUGUAGAUCAAUAGCUCGCGUUGUUGCUUUCAUAUGUUUAUUUUGAUAUCAUCCUAGAGAGAACUGUGUUGAAAGAUGUUAAUAGCAAUGAUGCGGAUUGGAUCCCUGGUCUGAGGAUUGUCCUCAUUGCUGCACAGAAGAAUUAUGUCCUUGAUGCACCGCUAGGUGAUGGACCUAUUGCAGGAGCAUAUGUAGACGUUAUGAAUGUUUGGCUAGCUCAAUAUGAUGGCUACUUGAUAGUUUAGUGCACCAUGCUUAACAUCUUAGAAUCGGGACUUCAAAGACGUUUUUAACGUCAUGGUCCAUAUGAGAUGUUCCAGGAGUUGAAGUUAAUAUUUCAAGAAAAUACCCGAGUUGAGAGAUAUGAAGUCUCCAACAAGUUCUAUAGCUAAAAGAUGGAGGAGAAUUGCUCAACUAGUGAGCAUGUGCUCAGAUUGUCUGGGUACUACAAUCGCUUGAAUCAAGUGGGAGUUAAUCUUCCAGAUAAGAUAGUGAUUGACAGAGUUGUCUAAUCACCAUCACCAAGUUAGUAGAACUUCAUGAUGAACUAUAGUAUGCAAAGGAUGACGAAAAUGAUUCCCGAGCUCUUUGCGAUGUUGAAAUCAACAAAGGUAGAAAUCAAGAAAGAGCAUCAAGUGUUGAUGAUUGAAAAGACCACUAGUUUCAAGAAAAGGGCAAUGGGAAAGAAAGGGAACUUCAAGUAGAAUGACAAGCAAGUUGUCACUCCCACGAAGAAGCCCAAAGUUGGACCAAAGCCUGAAACUGAGUGCUUACACUGCAAAGGAAAUGGUCACUGGAAACGGAAAUGCCCUGAAUAUUUGGUGGAUAAGAAGGAUGGCAAAGUGAACAAGGGUAUAUUUGAUAUACAUGUUAUUUAUGUGUGCCUUGCUAGUGUUUAUAGUAACCCCUGAGUAUUUGAUACUUGUUCGGUUGCUAAGAUUAGUAACUCGAAACAGGAGUUACAUAAUAAACAGAGACUAGUUGAGGAGAAGUGACGAUGAGUGUUGGAAGUGGUUCCAAGAUUGAUAUGAUCAUCAUCGCAUAGAACAAUGGAAUGAGCUACUAUUUGUUGGAAAUAAUACAUACCGAUGUAUGUGAUCCAAUGAGUGUUGAUGCUCGUGGCGAGUAUCGUUAUUUUCUGACCUUCACAGAUGAUUUGAGCAGAUAUGGGUAUAUCUACUUAUUGAAACAUAAGUCUAAAACAUUUGAAAAGUUCAAAGAAUUUCAGAGUGAAGUGGAGAAUCAUCGUAACAAGAAAAUAGAGUUUCUACGAUCUGAUCAUGGAGGAGAAUAUUUGAGUUACGAGUUUGGCCUUCAUUGAAAAACAAUGUGGAAUAGUUUCACAACUCACGCCACAGGGAACAUCACAGCGUAAUGGUGUGUCCGAAUGUCGUAACCGCACUUUAUUGGAUAUGGUGCGAUCUAUGAUGUAUCUUACCGAUUUACCACUAUCGUUUUGGGGUUAUGCAUUAGAGACAGCUGCAUUCACUUUAAAUAGGGCACCAUCAAAAUCUGUUGAGACGACGCCUUAUGAACUGUGGUUUGGAAAGAAACCAAAGUUGUCGUUUAUUAAAGUUUGGGGUUGCGAUGCUUAUGUGAAAAAAAUUCAACCUGAUAAGCUCGAACCAAAAUCGGAGAAGUGCGUCUUCCUAGAAUACCCAAAGGAAACUAUUGGGUACACCUUCUAUCACAAGAUCCGAAGGCAAGAUAUUCGUUGCUAAGGUGGAUCCUUUAUAGAGAAGGAGUUUCUCUCGAAAGAAGUGAGUGGGAGGAAAGUAGAGCUUGAUAAGGUAAUUGUACCUUCUCCCCAAUUGGAAAGUAGUUCAUCACAAAAAUCAGUUCCAGUGAUUCCUACACCAACUAGUGAGGAAGCUAAUGAUGAUGAUCAUGAAACUUCAAAUUAAGUUACUACAGAACCUCGUAGGUCUUCCAAAGUACAGUCCGCACCAGAGUGGUACGGUAAUCCUAUUCCGGAAGUCAUGUUACUAGACCAUGAUGAACCUACGAACUAUGAGGAAGUGAUGAUGAGCCCAGAUUCCGCGAAAUGGCUUGAGGCCAUGAAAUCUGAGAUGGGAUCCAUGCAUGAGAACAAAGUUUGGACUUUGGUGGACUUGCCCGAUGGUCGUAAAGCCAUAUUAAAUAAAUGGAUCUUCAAGAGGAAGACAGACAAUGAUAGUAGUGUUACUAUCUACAAAGCUCGACUUGUUGCGAAAGGUUUUCAACAAGUUCAAGGUGUUGAAUACAAUGAGAUUUUCUCACUCGUAUCGAUGCUUAAGUUUGUCCGAAUCAUGUUAGCAAUUGCCACAUUUUAUGAAAUCUGGCAAAUGGAUGUCAAAACUGCAUUCCUUAAUGGAUUUAUUAAAGAAGAGUUGUAUAUGAUGCAACCAGAAUGUUUUGUCAAUCCUAAAGGUGCUAACAAAAUGUGCAAGCUCUAGUGGUCCAUCUAUGGACUGGUGCAAGCAUCUCGGAGUUGGAAUAUACGCUUUGAUAAGUUGAUCAAAGCAUAUAGUUUUGUACGGACUUGCGGUGAAGCCUGUAUUUACAAUAAAGUGGGUGGGAGCACUACAACCUUUCUGAUAAAUAUAUGUGAGUGACAUAUUGUUGAUCAGAAAUGAUGUAGAAUUUUUCUGGAAAGCAUAAAGGAUGGUUUGAAAGGAGUUCUUUAAAAAGAAAGACCUCAGUAAAGCUACUUACAUACUGAGCAUCAAGAUCUAUUGAGAUAGAUCAAGACGCUUGAUAAGAUUUUCAAUGAGUACAUACCUUGACAAGAUUUUGAAGUAGUUCAAAAUGGAACGGUCAAAGAAAGAGUUCUUGCCUGUGUUACAAAGGUGUGAAAUUGAGUAAGACUCAAAUCCCAACCACAACAGAAAAUAGAAAGAGAAUGAAAGUCAUUCCCUAUGCCUCAGUCAUAGGUUCUAUAAAGUAUGCCAUGCUAUGGACCAGACCUAUUGUAUACCCUACCCAGAGUUUAGCAAGGGAGUACAAUAGUGAUCUAGGAGUAGAUCACUGUACAUUGGUCAAAAUUAUCCUUACUGGAAUAAGGAUAUGUUUCUCGAUUAUGGAGGUGACAAAAGGUUCGUCGUAAAGGGUUACGUCGAUGCAAGUUUUACACCAAUCCAGAUGGCUCUAAGUCUCAAUCUGGAUACAUAUUGAAAGUGGGAGCAAUUAGCUAGAGUAGCUCCGUGCAGAGCAUUGUAGACAUAGAAUAUUUGCAAAAUACAUACGACUCUGAAUGUGACAGGCCCGUUGACUAAACUUCUCUCACAAGCAAAACAUGAUCACACCUUAGUAUUCUUUGGGUGUUAAUCACAUAGCGAUGUGAACUAUAUUAUUGACUCUAGUAAACCCUUUGGGUGUUGGUCACAUGACAAUGUGAACUAUGGGUGUUAAUCAUAUACAGAUAUGAAUAUUGGUGUUAAAUCACAUGGCCAUGUGAACUAGAUUAUUGACUCUAGUGCAAGUGGGAGACUGAAGGAAAUAUGCCCUAGAGGCAAUAAUAAAGUUAUCGUUUAUUUCCUUAUUUCAUGAUAAAUGUUUAUUAUUCAUGCUGGAAUUGUAUCCGGAAACAUAAUACAUGUGUGAAUACAUAGACAAACAGAGUGUCACUAGUAUGCCUCUACUUGACUAGCUCAUUAAUCAAAGAUGGUUAAGUUUCCUAACCAUAGACAUUAGUUGUCAUUUGAUUAACGGGAUCACAUCAUUAGGAGAAUGAUGUGAUUGACUUGACCCAUUCCUUUAGCUUAGCACUUGAUCAUUUAGAAUGUUGCUAUUGCUUUCUUCAUGACUUAUACAUGUUCCUAUAACUAUGAGAUUAUGCAACUCCCGUUUACAGAAGGAACACUUUGUGUGCUACCAAACGUCACAAUGUAACUGGGUGCUUAUAAAGGUGCUCUACAGGUGUCUCCGAAGGUACUUGUUGGGUUGGCAUAUUUCGAGAUUAGGAUUUGUCAUUCCGAUUGUUGGAGAGGUAUCUCUGGGCCCUCUUGGUAAUGCACAUCACUAUAAGCCUUGCAAGCAAUGUAGCUAAUGAGUUAGUUACGGGAUGAUGCAUUACGUAACGAGUAAAGAGACUUGCCGAUAACGAGAUUGAACUAGGUAUUGAGAUACGGACGAUCGAAUCUCGGGCAAGUAACAUACCGAUGACAAAGGGAACAACAUAUGUUGUUAUGCGGUUUGACCGAUAAAGAUCUUCGUAGAAUAUGUAGGAGCCAAUAUGAGCAUCUAGGUUCCGCUAUUGGUUAUUGACCGGAGAUGUGUGUCAGUCAUGUCUACAUAGUUCUCGAACCCGUAGGGUCCGCACGCUUAAAGUUAGAUGACAGUUAUAUAUGAGUUUAUGUAUUUUGAUGUACCGAAGGUUGUUUGGAGUCCCGGAUGUGAUCACGGACAUGAAGAGGAGUCUUGAAAUGGUUGAGACAUAAAGAUUGAUAUAUUGGACGACUAUAUUUGGACACCGGAAUGGUUCCGGGUGAGAUUGGGACAACACCGGAGCUCCGGGAGGUUAUCGGAACCCCCCGGGAGGUAUAUGGGCCUUAAUGGGCUUUAGUGGAAAGGAGGGGAAAGGAGCAAGGGAGGGGGCGUGCCCUCCCAAGCCCAAUCCCUCCUUCCUCUUCCUUCCCUCUCCCUCUCCAAAUAGGAAAAGGGGCAGUCCUACUACCGGUGGGAGUAGGACUCACCCCUUGGGAGCGCCUCCUCCCCUUGGCCAGACCCCUCCUCCACUCCUUUAUAUAAGGGGAGGGGGGCACCCCAUAGACACAACAAUUGAUCAUUGAUUUCAUAGCCGUGUGCGGUGCCCCCUCCACCAUAGUCCUCCUCGAUAAUAUCAUAGCGGUGCUUAGGCGAAGCCCUGCGUCGGUAGAACAUCAGCAUCGUCACCACGCCGUCGUGCUAACGGAACUCUCCCUCGAAGCUCGACUGGUUCGGAGUUCGAGGGACGUCAUCGAGCUGAAUGUGUGCAAGAACUCAGAGGUGCCGUGCUUUCGGUGCUUGAUCAGUCGGGCCGUGAAGACGUACGACUACAUCAAUCGCGUUGUGCUAACGCUUCCGCUUUCGGUCUACGAGGGUACGUAGACACACUCUCCCCUCUCAUUGCUAUGCAUCACCAUGAUCUUGCAUGUGCGUAGGAUUUUUUUUGCAAUUACUACGUUCCCCAACACAUUUUUGGCGCCGUUGCCGGGGAUAGCGUCAAGCGAUUGUGUUAGGCUAUAGCCUAGGUUUUUCUUGUUUUCAUUUUGGGCCAUAUACUUGUGAUAUAUCUCUAGCCAUUAACCCCUGUUUUAGUUAGUAUCUUUUUGUCUUCUUUUCCUUUUUUGCGGGUUGGAUUAUCCUCUCAAAAAUGGCAUUCUAUUCAGAUCAUUAGGCUUAUGCAAGCAACACUACAAACAACACGGAAAGUAUUCAAGAACUAAUAAGUAAGAUUUCCAAUCGAUUAGAUGAUUUAGCUCGGCAGCGAGAAGUAGUUUUUGAGGAUAGGCCUAGCUCUUAUGAUCCUUAUUCCGGAGGCCAUCCUUAUGUUGCUCCUACUUGCCAUAUUUGUGGAUUCCAAGGCCAUUCGCUUGCUGAAUGUCAGCGUGGUUACUCUCACACUCCAGAUUGUUUUGGCAUGAGCUUCGCUCAACAGCAUAGCUCACACCAAAACAAUUACUCAUAUGGGUGGCCUGAAAACCCGAAUAUGUCAUAUAGGAGCAACAACCCUGAGAUCUCACCGUUUGCUUCUUGUAAUCAUAUGCAGGGAUUUAGGUAUGAAGAGGAGAGCAACAACUAUGCACCACAACAAUUUUAUUCACAUUAUACUCAUGUACCUCAACACCAGGAGAUGUGUCCAAUGGAGUUAAAUGUUCCUCCAUUUGGUCAACCGACAACUCCAGCACCUGAUGAGUCAUUAGUGCAAUGUCAUGUGCAAGUGCCUGCAUAAGAUGACUUCGAUGGCAUAGACAAGCUCACACUCUUGAGUCUUGAGUUCACUUGGAGUGCUAAAGAUGAUCCUAUUAGGAAGGUUAUACUAGAGGAAAUGAAGAAGAUCAAGAGUGGAAAAGAGCUAGUGGAAGAAGUAAGGAAGAUUGAGAAGAACAUCAACACUGGUAGCACUAUUUCUUCACAUCUUGAGAUGAGCAAUUCUGGGAUUCCCCUUGAUACAUGUGAGGUUCCAAUACCGUCACAUCCAGCUGAGCAAGAUAGCAAGUGCCUUGAGCAAGAGAUACCACAUAUUGAAGAAGAUAAACUAGAAGACAAGGAACAAGAUGAUCAGGAGCUGCAACUCCCAAGUGAUCAAGUUGAAAACUCAUCAUCUACUACUCCUGAAGAAGUAAAAGAAGCUGUUGUAGAUGAAGAUGAAGAACCUGAGAUUCACUGGCCUAUUGUCAUACAUGAGCAUGAUGUGUCAUGUUUACCCAAUCCUCUUGAUGACAUGCUCCCUUAUGAUUUCGUUGCUUCUAACUUGCAUUGCAUGAUGCCAUCACUUAAGGUAGAUUUGGAAAACUAUUUGCUUGGACAUGAUCAUGCACACCCUGUUAGUGGCAUUACUCUCAUUAGUGAUGAUCACAGUUACUUUCCUCGUGUUGUAAUCUCUUCUCAUUGUCUUUGUUCGCUUUAUUAUCCCGUUGUGAGAAUGGCUAGAGUUCUAUGCUUAAUGAAACAUAUCAUUCCCAUGCUAGUCUUGAGCUUAAUGAUAAAUAUCAUCCUCAUGUUAGUGUUCACCUUGCUAAUUUCUACCAUCCUAAGCAUGUGCUUUAUAGCUAUGCUUAUGUAAUUGGACAUUCGAUUGAUAACUUGGAGGGUAUUAUCCCUGCCACUUGCAUUGUCUCUUUUGUUGAGUGUUUUUCCAGGUUUUUGCUUCUGCACCGUUCACUUCAUGCUGACCAGGUUCGAGGUGACAUUCCUUGGGACCCUGGUGGACUCAGAGCAUGGUGAAGAGGAGAAGCAAGGGGCACACAUGAAGAAGAGUGAAGAUGGAGUAUGCUUGUUGAAGCAAAAGAAGAAGAGCCGUAGCUUAGAGAGUGAUCAAGCGAGUGCUACUUCAUAGUGCCCGGUGAGCUGUUUCAUGACCCAUUCCAAGUAUAUCAUCCAUUGAUACAUGCUAAAAUCAAAUGUUAUUUGGGUUGCUUAAGCCAUGUCUUAAAUGUUGCCCCACUGAUUUUUUUUGACAUAUGGUGCUUGAUGAGAAUAUGCGAACUGAUUGUUGAAUGCCAUGUAAACUAGUGAUCUACAUAUUGCUUGCUUGGAUGAAAUUAGUGAAAGCUAUUAGUUUUGACUUUUGAGUGCUCAAAUCCCUAGUACACUAGAAAACUUAAUCAUUUUCUGCUUUUACCUCGAUAAACCUAGAUCAUUAAGUGUUAGAUGCUGAGUUUUUGCCUAUUGUGUUCCCAUUGAGAGCAAUCACUUUACCACUAUGGACUAGUAUGCUAUGUUCCUUGGAUCGGUAGCAUGUGAACCAGACAUGGAGAAGUGAUGAUUCCUGUUUUUGUGCUUAUGUGUUGUUCAUUUAAGAUAAGUAAUAAUGAAUAAAUAGGUCUGACUACCUACAGUAGGAUGUCAUGUUCCCUGGAUCGGUGGCAUGUGAAAUCGGGUUAGCUUGGGCAGUAAUUAAUAAUAAAAAUUGUAAUUGUCAAACCAGGUGUAUACCAUGUUCUCUGGAUCGGUGGUAUGUUCCUUUGGGGAGACAAACAUUUUUUUUAAUAAUAAUUGGUUGAACCAGGUGUAUACCAUGUUCUCGGGAUCGGUGGUAUGUUCCUUCGGUGAGACUAAUAAAAUAAUAUGUGUGUUUCUUUCAAAUUCAAUAAGUGGUUCAACCACAAAGUUAUAUUUCUGCAAAUAAGAGAUUUAAUUCCAGUUCUUUUUGUUCUCGGGAUCAUGCUCUCUUUAGGAACCAUUUGGCGCAAAUAACAUUUGAACUUGUUAUCUUCUUUUAUCAUUGUAAUAGUUUAAAAUGACCGAGUCUACUAGUAGCCUAUUGCUUUGUGGCACUCUUGACCAUUGAUUUUCACUAGCUAAGUCCAAAGCAUGCCUUGUUUAGAGAUCUACUUCACUUGGCAUUCUCUAGUCAGCUCACUAUUCACAUUCUUGCUCUUGUCAUAUGCCUUUGCUUGAGGACAAGCAAAAGUUUAAGUGUGGGGGAACUUGAUAAGCACAUUUCAUAUAUAUAAUUUUGACACACAAAUUCACCAUUUCUUGAGAUGUGUCCAUCUAUUCUUUCUAAAAAAUAUCGAAUAUUUGAUUGAUAGUCAUAAAAGAGAUUGUGAAUAGUCAUUUAUUUAUUUUGCAGAAAAGUGCGCAUAGGCACUAUAAACUUCAUGAUUUCGACAAUGCGGAUAACGAGAAGAGUCAAGAGCAGGAAAGAAGAAUUGAGGAGUAAGACUAGGGGGAAGAAAAGAAGAAAGAGGGACCCAACUAUGAAGGAAGAAGUAUCCAGGGGCGCAAACUAAAUGAAGAAUGGAUCUUGUGUAGAAAGUUGAGAAGAGGAGGGCAAAAGUGCAAUAUGGCAACUAAGAGAAGGGGAACAAAAUCCCUAGUGCAGCCUCAAUUUUGGAUCGGGCCUGGCUACGCACAUCCCUCUCUCCCUCAUCCCUCCUUCUCCUCUGGCCGCCGCCACGGCCAGGCCGGCGUGGUGGUGCUCCUCCGCGACCCAUCCAUCCAGCAGCCCCACCGCUCCACCGCGCCUCCACCUUCACCGUGCCCUCCGUCCACCAGCACCUCCAUACACCACCAUCCAUCCACUCCAUCACCACCUCGCGCCGCUGCACCAUCCAUCAUCGCCACCCCUUCACCACCAUCACUCGCGCGCCCUACCAAACCAGGGGUCUGGUGCCCCGCGUGACUUCCUGUUGCCUUUCUUCCCCAUGAACCUGCUGUUGUUCUUCUUCUCCAAGCCCCGUUGCUUCUUCUCCAUCACGAAACUGCUGCCCCUCUCUUGCUGGGCCCCUGCCUCUGCUUCUCACGCUGCUGCUGCUCUCUAUCCCCACGUCCCUGCUACUGCAUCUUCUCCUUCUUCUUACCUCGCUCCUGCACUUCCUUCGCCCCUUUGCUGCUGUUCUUCUUCUCUUCCUGAAUCUGUUUGCUGCUUCCUUCUUCUCUAAAGUCUGAAUCCCCUACUCCUGCUCUCUCUCUCUCUCUCUCUAAAUUUUCUGUAAGCUGAGAUGUGUAAUGCUUUGUAAUGUUCAGAUUUCAGUAGUGCUUGAAACUUGUUCAGUUUCAGACUUGUGCUUGAUUAAUAGUACUUAUGUUGUUCAUCUCAGAGUACUAGAAUUGUGUCUUGUAACCUCCCCCUGUUUGCAUAUGUGUGAUAUAUUUUUGUCCCUAUCAUAUUAGCUUGUUUCUUUCCUUCUGUCAUUGCUAGUUAUAUAUGUGUGAGUGUUUGUGUUGUGAGAGUUGUACUGUUACAUUGUGACUCUCAUUUAGAUUGUAUGAGUACUAGCUAUAUACGUCAUAUAUAUUCUGUUCAUGUAUGAUAGUUGAGCAUCUCCAAUAGCUUGUCUAUAUGGAUGUCUAUACUCGUUUUCCACGAUGUGAGCCCAAAACAGGCGUCCAACAGCUUGUCUAUAUGGUUGUCCAAAUAUACACAUCCUCUAAAUCGACCUCGACAAUGUCCAUGCCUGGACAAUGUGACGGCGUUGUCUAAACUCAGUUGUAGUCAUGAUUUCUUCCUCUCCCCAGCAACAGCCCACCUGUCAUGGUCCCUGUAUAUAGACGUUUUGAUGCAAAAUUGGAUGUGUAUAUGAGGGAAUCUUUUUAGACCAUUGUCUAUAUGAAUAUAUAGACAUCCAAAUAUGCACAUGCUAUUGGAGAUGCUCUUAUAUGUGUUCUUGUCCAGCAGCUUUCCCUAAUAUUGAU